CAACGUUUCAGUCCUCUCCAAGGACUUUCAUCAGGAUCAUGUUGGAGUCCUUGGAGAGGACUGAAACGUU
rnacentral:miRNA from 1 species